CGGCGCGUGGUGCUCACUUCCUCUAUUUCGGCCAUGGUCCCCAAUCCUGGUUGGCCGGAAAACAAGGUCUUCGAUGAGUUGUCGUGGACUGAUCUUGACUACUGCAAGUCCCGCCAGAAAUGGUACCCAGUCUCAAAGACACUUGCUGAGAAGGCUGCAUGGGAAUUUGCGGAGAAGAAUGGAUUGGAUGUGGUAGCAAUUAAUCCAGCUACAUGUCUUGGUGAACUUCUGCAACCUGGACUGAAUGCAAGCUGCGCUGUUUUGCAACAACUGCUUCAGGGAUCAACAGAUACCCAAGAGUAUCAUUGGUUAGGGGCUGUGCACGUCAAAGAUGUGGCAGCGGCACAGAUUUUGUUAUUUGAGAGCCCCCGUGCUUCUGGAAGAUACUUAUGUACCAAUGGCAUUUACCAGUUUGGUGAUUUUGCUGACAGAGUCUCAAAACUUUCCCCCGAAUUCUCUGUCCACAGGUUCACAGGGGAGACCCAGCCAGGCUUGGUGGCUUGCAAAGAUGCUGCUAAAAAGUUGAUUGAUUUGGGACUAAUUUUCACCCCAGUUGAAGAUGCAGUUAAG
rnacentral:misc_RNA from 1 species